rnacentral:rRNA from 1 species
AGAGUUUGAUCCUGGCUCAGAACGAACGCUGGCGGCAGGCCUAACACAUGCAAGUCGAGCGCACCUCCGGGUGAGCGGCGGACGGGUUAGUAACGCGUGGGAACAUACCCUUUUCUACGGAAUAGCCUCGGGAAACUGAGAGUAAUACCGUAUACGCCCUUCGGGGGAAAGAUUUAUCGGUGAAGGAUUGGCCCGCGUUUGAUUAGAUAGUUGGUGGGGUAAUGGCCUACCAAGUCUACGAUCAAUAGCUGGUUUGAGAGGAUGAUCAGCAACACUGGGACUGAGACGCGGCCCAGACUCCUACGGGAGGCAGCAGUGGGGAAUCUUAGACAACGGGCGCAAGCCUGAUCUAGCCAUGCCGCGUGAGUGACGAAGGCCUUAGGGUCGUAAAGCUCUUUCGCCAGGGAUGAUAAUGACAGUACCUGGUAAAGAAACCCCGGCUAACUCCGUGCCAGCAGCCGCGGUAAUACGGAGGGGGUUAGCGUUGUUCGGAAUUACUGGGCGUAAAGCGCACGUAGGCGGAUUGGAAAGUAUGGGGUGAAAUCCCAGGGCUCAACCCUGGAACUGCCCUGUAAACUAUCAGUCUAGAGUUCGAGAGAGGUGAGUGGAAUUCCAAGUGUAGAGGUGAAAUUCGUAGAUAUUUGGAGGAACACCAGUGGCGAAGGCGGCUCACUGGCUCGAUACUGACGCUGAGGUGCGAAAGUGUGGGGAGCAAACAGGAUUAGAUACCCUGGUAGUCCACACCGUAAACGAUGAAUGCCAGACGUCGGGGGGCUUGCCCUUCGGUGCCACACCUAACGGAUUAAGCAUUCCGCCUGGGGAGUACGGUCGCAAGAUUAAAACUCAAAGGAAUUGACGGGGGCCCGCACAAGCGGUGGAGCAUGUGGUUUAAUUCGAAGCAACGCGCAGAACCUUACCAACCCUUGACAUCCUAGGACCGCCAGAGAGAUCUGGUUUCCACUUCGGUGGCCUAGUGACAGGUGCUGCAUGGCUGUCGUCAGCUCGUGUCGUGAGAUGUUCGGUUAAGUCCGGCAACGAGCGCAUCCCACAUCCUUAGUUGCCAGCAGUUCGGCUGGGCACUCUAGGGAAACUGCCCGUGAUAAGCGGGAGGAAGGUGUGGAUGACGUCAAGUCCUCAUGGCCCUUACGGGUUGGGCUACACACGUGCUACAAUGGCAUCUACAGUGAGUUAAUCUCCAAAAGAUGUCUCAGUUCGGAUUGGGGUCUGCAACUCGACCCCAUGAAGUCGGAAUCGCUAGUAAUCGCGUAACAGCAUGACGCGGUGAAUACGUUCCCGGGCCUUGUACACACCGCCCGUCACACCAUGGGAGUUGGUUCUACCCGACGACGCUGCGCUAACCUUCGGGGGGCAGGCGGCCACGGUAGGAUCAGCGACUGGGGUGAAGUCGUAACAAGGUA